AGCACCAGGGAGAGCUGCCUGUGCCUGGCAGAAGCUGCCCAUGCCCCACUGAUAACCCUACAGUACUUCCUGUUCUGCUCAGUACUCCUGCUUCUUUCUACAAACAACUGUGAUUCUCCACCUGGGAGCUUCCUCUGGCCGCAGGAGCCUGCUCACCUGAUUGGGACACUCCAGCAGUACUGUGCUUCCUGGAAUCAUCUCCCUCAUCAAUCUUUUGUUCCCAAAUUCUCUCUGAGUCUGUUUCUGAGGAAACCUAACCUGAGUCAUCGUCCCUCUUCCCUCCCUCACAUUCUCUUCACUGGGGGAGGAUGGAUUGAGUUGACUGGCAAAUUCGGGAGAAGGAGUUUGCAUCAGAGUGUGUGACUCAGCUGAGGCUGGGCUCUGGUUCUUCAGAAUGAAGUGCAUUCAGAUUCGAUGUGUAUCCUGUCUCCAGGAAGCCCCAUGCUCUGCUCAUCUUAGCAUGAUUACUAAGGUACACUCUGCCCUUGCAAGGGGAAGGCCUGAGAUUUGCCAUUGGCAAGCUCAGUGUGAGUUGGAUGUUUUAUGUAACCUGAUUGUGGAUAUAGAUCAAUCCACGCUUUUCAAUUCAGUCCUCUCUCUAAUAAACUGCUGUCACGA
rnacentral:antisense_RNA from 1 species